AUGAAGAGGUUGCAACGGCAGCUAACACGGCGGUUGCGGGAUGCAGAGGGGAAAAUGGCCGUGUGUGGCGAGGUUGUGGAGGCUACCAGCCUUUUCUUUGGUGCAAUGGCGGCGGCCAUGGAUCUGGAGAAUGGAGGAUGGAGGAUCUGGAAGGCCGACCGAGAUCCACUUUUCCCGGUGGAAAAGAAGCUGUCAUCUCGUGUGUGUGUGUGUACGCAAGGAAACACAACAAAGAAGGAAGGUUCCCUUGCCGUUGGAUCCCAGGGGGAUAGACGGUUUGGAUGUGCGAUCCGUGUGAUGCCUAGCUCAACCAAUCACAACUCAGCUUUGCCCCCACACAAGAUUGCCACUUUGGCUGCAAACUAA
rnacentral:rRNA from 1 species